rnacentral:rRNA from 1 species
GAUGAACGCUAGCGGCAGGCCUAAUACAUGCAAGUCGAGGGGUAAAGGGAGAGCUUGCUUUCCUUGAGACCGGCGCACGGGUGCGUAACGCGUAUGCAACCUACCCUUGGUCAGGGGGAUAGCCCGGAGAAAUCCGGAUUAAUACCGCAUAAGACCACACGAUGGCAUCAUCGAGAGGUCAAACAUUUAUGGGACAGGGA